AUGUCUCCCCUACUCCUUAAAAAAAAUUAGUUCAUUGUGACCUUGUUUUAAAUUUUAGUUGUAUAAAGAUCUGGUUGAUUGGUGAAAUUUUUUAUGUAAAAAAUAGAGUGUGUGGCUUUCCAUUGGGGAUGUACAUGUGACUUUUAUGUUAUCUGUGGUUUCCAAUCUCCUUAACAUUGAUUGAACAUUAAUCUUUCCUUAAAGUGUAAUCCUAAAUAUACAAGUAAAAAAUGUAUAUUGCUUGAGAAACUUAUUGGAUUCAUCUUCCUCUUCAAGUUGCAACACAACUUUAAACAUUCUUUAGUUUAUGUUUCCAAAGAAAUGCACAUGAAUACUUACAGUGCCUAUUUUCUUUGUUGGAUGAAAAUUACUUUGGAUCUAAAGGACAAACUUUCUUAAAUGUUCAUGUUAAACUGAGGAAAGUCAAUGUUGUAUAAAAUAUAUUUUUGGUAAGUACUUGUCACUGUAGAUAUAUUUAUAGAAAGUAUUUAUAAUAAGUGUUUGAUGAGGAAAAUAUAACAGCAGAGAUGGUUGCAGUGUAUUUAUGAACAUUUUACAUGCACUCGUGAAUAAGUUGAGAAGUCUAUUUACAAGUAUUACUUAACAUAAUUACAUUUUAAAUAGUUUGUACUUACAUAAUAGUUAACAGUACGAGGACAUAUUUAGGGCGUCUUUGAGUAAGAAAUAAACAUAGCCUUGCAAGAAGACUUCUUUAGGUAAGAAGGUGGAUUUAAAGGUUAAUUCUCUGUCAUGUUGCAAGCUUGAUUGAGAGUCAAAUCCAAUCUGCAGUAAUCUGCUUACAAGUGUGCAACUUGCCCAAAAGGGCUUUUGUCAAAUGUGUUACUAUAUUUGUGGCCUCAAGUACUGCAUACUAAUUAUGUGUUCUGGAUAACUAACUCCUCUUUGGAUCUUUAAAAUAGUUAUAAAAAGGUACGCUAUACAUAUUAAAUACAUAAUUUAAUACAGUUUGAAUAAAAUUACAUGAUCAAACAACCUUGAAAUAGCUUUCUUCAGCGUUUGCAUUUAAUACAGAAAAUAAUACGUGAUACCCAGUUUUAUGUCAUAACCAAGUUUGCAUAGAAUAUUUGGCCCAAUUAGAAAUAAGGAUGUAAUAAGCGUGUCUGCACACAGUAUCUAUGUUCAUAGAGCAUUCUUAGCAAGGUGUAUAAUAUGGCAAGUCAUUCAGUCAUUCUCCCUUCUCUGUGGAUGCAGAGGGCCCUCAAAGAAAAAUGUAAGGUAUGAGUCUGCUUUUUUUUUUUUUUCCUUAUGGGGGAAGAAAAGUGGCAGGUUUGAGCCUGUACAUCAGAAUUGUUUGUUGCAGGAACUACAUUUGGCAUCAGUCUCCUCUUAGAUUUGAAACUGGUUCCGGUGAAUGCUUGGAUCCAUGCGUAAUGUACUAGCCAUUUUCCUUUGUCUGCAGGAGGAGCUGGCUUUGUGACACCUGAGUAGAAGGUAUGGAGCUGACUCCUGUCAUUCUUCAAGAACAGGAGGUUUUGUUAGAGAGAUGGUUGUUUAUGAAAAACUAAUUUGUGUGCAGUCUGUCAUCUUAGUUGUAAGAAGGGAGGUAAUAGGAAUUCUGAUGUGCUCCACUUCUGCUGUCCUCUCCCUCCCAAGAUUAAGUUGGUGCCAGUUCAUUGGUUUUUGAAUAAUUUCCUGCAUUUUUAAAAAGGUGCAUUGGGACUACAUGAGUCUUUUAAAAUGUUUUUGACAGUAGAUCCUGCUGUAGAUAUACUGCUGUAGGUAUGUUAGAAAACUCUGACUUGUAUGCAAAGCAUGACGUUUACAGUCUGCCUUUUGAGAUUUUUUACAAUAAAAGGUGUUCAGUUUAGGAAUUGUGAGCAGAGCCACUUACGUAUGGGCAAAAGAGUAUGGGCUUUCUGUGAGUAAUGGCUACAAUUUACAGUUUUAUUAUUGGUGGUUUUGAAAAAAUACUGUUUACCAUGGGUCUGCUUUUUGUAGAUAUGAGCCAGGGAACUGUGUUGAGCAUUCCUAAAGUGAAGGUUGAGAAUGAAGGAAAAGAACACCAUUCCAGAUUAAGGAAAUACACGUAAUAUAAAAAUCUAAAUAUACAAGUUAGCGAAAAGUGCCAUUUUUUGUUUGAAUUGUACAUGUUAAGACUUCAAUCAAUAAUUUCAUAUAAGAUCUGUCAAAAUUAUUCAUGUUUUUUCUGGACAGUGUGCAGAAAUUACAUAUUUUAAUAAAAAUACUGUAUAUAAAUCGAGUAACAUGGAAAAAUACCUAGAGCACACAGUUAACUCAUUUUGCAACAUUAUUUUUUCUUUUCCAGUUUUUAAUUGUAACUGUUUACUACGAUUUAAAAUUAUUUCCAACAAAUGGUGAGUAUUUAAGAGGUUUGUUAAGAAAUUGACCUAUACUAUUCAAAGCAAAAAUCCACUGGGGCUCACUGAAGUCCUUUGUAGAUGCCUUUUCUGUAGCCGGAACAGUGUCUGAGACAAACAAUUACAAAAUUAUACAUGUUUUGGAUUUUCCAUCCUCUCCACUUCCGCCACCACCUCCAGCGUCAUUUUCAGCUAAAAAACAGAGAAGGAAAGUAAAGUGAGUAUUUUCUGUUAUUUUUAGCUGCUCUAAUUUCUUUGAAAAGAUGUUGCUUUUGUAAUAUCCGUAUUAUGUGUGUUUGACCUUCUGAAAAUUGAAUGUGAUUUCACUACUUGUCUGGGAAAAUAGAAGAUGAAACAAUAACACAUACUAUAUAUACAUAUAUGCAUAUAGUGUAGCAGUUGAUACCAACAUUUCUUAAAGGACCAAACACGCACUGAACCACUCUUACUGGAAAGUUUCAGUAGUUAAAUAUAGAUAAGUGUCCCACACAUACAAAACUGAGGUAUGCAAGCCAUGCAAAAGAAAUAAACUCAUGAUCAAUAUAAACUGCAAAUCUACUUUUGAAGCAGAUGACACAAAAACUUUAAUUUGACCUAAUUGUAUAAACCUUUAUCCAACCCUGCAUGAAUCCCUUUGUAAUUACCAAUUGAGAGAGACACUUCUUAUGUUUGUCAUCUAUAGAUACUGAUUCUUUUACUGUCUCUCUCAAAUGAUUCCACAGAUGUUCUUUGGUCAUAUUUAAGAUUCUUUCAAUGUAACAACUUUAGUUUCCAGGUUCAUUUAAGUUAAGAUACCAAUAUUAGAAUUAAAACUUACAUUUGAAAGCUGUGGAUCACCAUGUUACUAGGUCAUUUUCGACCCUUUCCACCUGCAUUGAAACAUGUCACAUAAUCAGUGUCCUACCCUCUGUAAUUUGUGGAUAUAAUCAACACUAUGUUACUAACUACAUAUUUUAUUUUCUUAGUUUAAUACUGUAUUCUGUUUUAGUUUCUGUUCUGAACUUUCCACUGUAGUGGUUCAGCAAAUAUGUUUAUUUUGUUUUCUGUCUACGGAAUGGCUAAGAAUAGCCAGGUCAAUGUGAUCUAGAGAAACCACUGUGGUUCAGCCUGUAUCAAAUUAUUGUUUGUAUGAACUGACUUAACAAACACAUAUAUUUACAUGGCCUUAAUUUGACAGUGUCAGAUCUGUUCUUCACAAAUGUGCAUUGCCUCACUCACUCCAGUGCAUGUUUAAAAAGAUUCAAAAUAAUUCACUUACAUUGUAUGAUACCAGUUAUAAUAUGCAAAGGCCAGAUCCUUAGCUCCUGCAAGUCAGUCUGUCAGUGCUUGGCUGUGUAAGGUUCCUUGUGGGAAAAUACUUCUUAAGUCAGUGACUAAGUGAUUCCAAAAUACCAGUGUUGUAAGAUGGUCCUAACUUCAAGUGAGAGUAGAAAUAUCUGACUCUCCUAAAUGUAGAAUUUAAUUUUCAUUUAAGAAGCUUAUAGGAUCUGACUUCAGUAACUAUACUUUUUGCCAAGAAGCAAAUGUAUAGAGAAGUUUAUGUGUAGGUCCCAGGUGUUUUAUGUUUUGUUUAGCUGGUAUUUCUGUGAAAUUCAGAUGCUUAGAUUCCAGUGUGAGGAAGGAGUACUUUGUUCAUAUUCACAACCAGCUAGUUCUCAGCAAUAAACUAAUCUUAAAUAAAUAAAAUUAUAUGGUUAAUUGCAAAAAAAAAAA